UACGAAGGGGGCUAGCGUUGUUCGGAAUCACUGGGCGUAAAGCGCACGUAGGCGGAUCUUUAAGUCAGGGGUGAAAUCCCGAGGCUCAACCUCGGAACUGCCUUUGAUACUGGGGAUCUCGAGUCCGGGAGAGGUGAGUGGAACUGCGAGUGUAGAGGUGAAAUUCGUAGAUAUUCGCAAGAACACCAGUGGCGAAGGCGGCUUACUGGCCCGGAACUGACGCUGAGGUGCGAAAGCGUGGGGAGCAAACAGGG
rnacentral:rRNA from 1 species